UCACAUGACUAAGUUCUGGCCAAUGGGAUGUGAGCAGACCUAAUAGUUGCCACUUCCAAGCCAGAUUCAUAAAACCUGCGUAAGUCUUGACUCUCUGCUUUCCACCAUCUGCCAGCCAGAUGCAGAGCAUCCAGCAGCAUCUUCUGAAGCCCUAGAAAAUGGCAGAGCCGCAAAAUGGAAGAAGCCUGGAUUCCCCAAAUCACUGUGUGGAAGGCUCCUACCAACCAGCCACACUGAAAUGUUAAUGAAGUCAGCUGCAUCCGGAGGUUCCACAAAGGCUGAGAACUCUACCAGCUGCAACCGAGCAGUGCCCAGAGCCCGAGCCUGCCAGGCUGGGGGUGAUGGGGCAGGUGGGGGCAAAGCAGGAGCCAAAAACAUUCCCAAUUGAUGAAUCUGUGGAACCUGAGAGCUCUCUUUCACCAAUGUGAGUACUUAGGACCACAUCAGCAUGGACUUCUGGAAGCCAUCUUUGCUACCAGGUGGGCAGAGCCUGCCUGGGAAUGAAGCCACCACAGAGGAAAGCAGACCCAAGCAAGUCCUGAUGCUACCAUUUGAGCCCCUGGAUCCAGCCAUGCCUGAAGCCAUAACUCCUGAAAUAACAGUUACCUGAACCAAUGAAUUCCCCCCCCUUUUUUUUGGUCAUCUAGCUUGAUUUGGGUUUCUGUCAUGUGCAGCUAAAGAAUCUUGAUUAAUAUAUCAAUAUCCCUGAUGUCCUUUAGGUCAGCAAGUGACAGACCAUAAACCCAGUAGAUCUGGCUACAGAGGCCAGGCUCUUAACCACUAUAAAUUCUGUGACUCAUCUUUCCAUACCCCCACAGGCCCUGCCUGAGAGCUGGAUCUCAGUAAGAAUGUAUCCCCUGAUCAAUGGAAGGUUGAAGGAAAGGCAAUCAGGGCUGAGAAGAGAGAGGGGAAAACAAGAGAGGGUGCGGAACCGGCUCUUACCUGGGAGGUCAGUAGAUGGAGGAGUCAGUGACAAGGAGAACGGUGUCUGCGAGAAUGGCUUCACACUGAGGGAGAAAGGAAACUGAGGGUCAGUAAGAAGGAAAGAUGCUAAUCGUACCAUCUAACAUUUACUGAGGGGCCAUG